UAGGAAUGUUUUGUGUGUAUGUUUUCAUGUACAAAUUCUUAUCUUCCAAUCAGCAGUGUGAAGUCUGUGAAGCCUAUUCCAAAUGUCAGUGUUAGUCUAACUUCAGGUACAUUAUUUGUUAACAAAUCAAGUUAGCUAUUUGUUAAAUAUUUGAUUCUGAGUUGGCAUUCCUUUUUUAAGUAAUCCUUCCUUUACUGAUAAGAUUCUCAGUCUCUUUAAAAACACAAAGCAGUAGAUCAGCAAAGUAAAUACAACCCAUUUUUUUCUAAUGUAACUUUCUUUCUUACAUGAUGCAUGCAAUUUCCUAUUUUCAAAAGGUCCUUGAAGCAUGGCUACGUAUGAUACCAGAAAAUGAUCUACUAAUGUGCCUUACUGCGUGUUGUUUACUUCAGAAUUUUAGGGAGCUUUUAUGUAACUUCAGCAUGCAUGUAAAGUUGAGAGUUGAAAUGAAUGGAGCUACCAAGUACUUAGUGUGAAAUAUUAGGCCACUUAGAUGUCUGAGUACAGGCUAUUUUUGAAAAUCUUUCAGCAUCCUUUGUUUCUCAGGUGAAAAUAUCUUCAACAAAAAAAGCUGACAAAUAUAUUCUGGUUCACAUGCUUGUGUAUUGGCGCAGCCUAAGAUUUAUUCUAUGAUUUCUUCUCUUUAAACAUUGAAAAAGACUUUCAGAUAUUCACAUCAGGCAACUGAGUAAGGAUACCUAGAAAGACUGAUAGAAAGGCCCAUCUCUAUGCAGCCUAUCCACAUGAAUUUCCCUUCAGUGAAAACUGGAGUUUGAAGGCAAAGCAUGAAGGCAGAAAGUGUGGUUAUUGGAGCUGAAUCCCUUCAGAGUUCACCACUGAUGUCGCUGAACAAAGUAGAUCUAAAUACAGCUGAACCAGAAAUAAGCUUCUCUCACCAGAGGAGAAGGAAGAGCAUGGUUUGUGUGAGACUUUUUGAAAACUGGAGUGGUCUUGUCUCUUCUGCUUUAUCUUGUUUAAAGAAGUCCCUAAAUGAGGCUGAUUUCAAGAGGUCCCUGCACAGAUGAGGAUGUGAUGUGUUCCUGAGAACACCUUUUCCUUCCCAGUCAGGGAGUUUGCAGCUGACAUAAUGGAAUGAUGUGGUGUCUAAAAGUAGAAUUGAAGACUCUUGCAAGUCGUCGUUGCCACCAUCAUUUUUUCUU